CACGUAUUUAGCCGUCACUUCUUCUGUUGGUACCGUCAUUUUUUUCUUCCCAACUGAAAGCACUUUACAUUCCGAAAAACGUCAUCGUGCACACAGAAUUGCUGGAUCAGACUCUUGGUCCAUUGUCCAAUAUUCCCCACUGCUGCCUCCCGUAGGAGUAAGGGCCGUGUCUCAGUCCCCUUGUGGCCGUUCACCCUCUCAGGCCGGCUACCCAUCAUCGCCUUGGUGAGCCGUUACCUCUCCAACUAGCUAAUGGGACGCAAAGCUCUCUCACAGCGCGUAUAGCUUUCAUAAUUCUAAGAUGCCUUAAAAUCAUAAUAUCAGGUAUUAGCAUUCGUUUCCAAAUGUUGUCCCUAGCUGUGAGGCAAGUUCUUUACGCGUUACUCACCCGUCCGCCACCCAAAUCUAAGUUAAAAACCCAAUUCAAGUUGACUUGCAUGUGUUAAGCAUUCUGUCAGCGUUCAUCCUGAGCCAGGAUCAAACUCU
rnacentral:rRNA from 1 species